UGGCUCAGUGGAUAGAGCGUCGGCCUGCAGACUGAAAGGUCACAGGUUCGAAUCCUGU
rnacentral:tRNA from 1 species